rnacentral:rRNA from 1 species
UGCAGUCGAGCGGAACGAUGAUUCUGAACCUUCGGGGAACGAAUUAGGCGUCGAGCGGCGGACGGGUGAGUAAUGCCUGGGAAAUUGCCCUGAUGUGGGGGAUAACCAUUGGAAACGAUGGCUAAUACCGCAUAAUGUCUACGGACCAAAGAGGGGGACCUUCGGGCCUCUCGCUUCAGGAUAUGCCCAGGUGGGAUUAGCUAGUUGGUGAGGUAAUGGCUCACCAAGGCGACGAUCCCUAGCUGGUCUGAGAGGAUGAUCAGCCACACUGGAACUGAGACACGGUCCAGACUCCUACGGGAGGCAGCAGUGGGGAAUAUUGCACAAUGGGCGCAAGCCUGAUGCAGCCAUGCCGCGUGUAUGAAGAAGGCCUUCGGGUUGUAAAGUACUUUCAGUCGUGAGGAAGGCGUUGAAGUUAAUAGCUUUAGCGUUUGACGUUAGCGACAGAAGAAGCACCGGCUAACUCCGUGCCAGCAGCCGCGGUAAUACGGAGGGUGCGAGCGUUAAUCGGAAUUACUGGGCGUAAAGCGCAUGCAGGUGGUUUGUUAAGUCAGAUGUGAAAGCCCGGGGCUCAACCUCGGAACCGCAUUUGAAACUGGCAGGCUAGAGUACUGUAGAGGGGGGUAGAAUUUCAGGUGUAGCGGUGAAAUGCGUAGAGAUCUGAAGGAAUACCAGUGGCGAAGGCGGCCCCCUGGACAGAUACUGACACUCAGAUGCGAAAGCGUGGGGAGCAAACAGGAUUAGAUACCCUGGUAGUCCACGCCGUAAACGAUGUCUACUUGGAGGUUGUGGCCUUGAGCCGUGGCUUUCGGAGCUAACGCGUUAAGUAGACCGCCUGGGGAGUACGGUCGCAAGAUUAAAACUCAAAUGAAUUGACGGGGGCCCGCACAAGCGGUGG